rnacentral:rRNA from 1 species
GAUGAACGCUGGCGGCGUGCCUAAUACAUGCAAGUCGAGCGAACGGACGAGAAGCUUGCUUCUCUGAUGUUAGCGGCGGACGGGUGAGUAACACGUGGAUAACCUACCUAUAAGACUGGGAUAACUUCGGGAAACCGGAGCUAAUACCGGAUAAUAUUUUGAACCGCAUGGUUCAAAAGUGAAAGACGGUCUUGCUGUCACUUAUAGAUGGAUCCGCGCUGCAUUAGCUAGUUGGUAAGGUAACGGCUUACCAAGGCAACGAUGCAUAGCCGACCUGAGAGGGUGACCGGCCACACUGGAACUGAGACACGGUCCAGACUCCUACGGGAGGCAGCAGUAGGGAGUCUUCCGCAAUGGGCGAAAGCCUGACGGAGCAACGCCGCGUGAGUGAUGAAGGUCUUCGGAUCGUAAAACUCUGUUAUUAGGGAAGAACAUAUGUGUAAGUAACUGUGCACAUCUUGACGGUACCUAAUCAGAAAGCCACGGCUAACUACGUGCCAGCAGCCGCGGUAAUACGUAGGUGGCAAGCGUUAUCCGGAAUUAUUGGGCGUAAAGCGCGCGUAGGCGGUUUUUUAAGUCUGAUGUGAAAGCCCACGGCUCAACCGUGGAGGGUCAUUGGAAACUGGAAAACUUGAGUGCAGAAGAGGAAAGUGGAAUUCCAUGUGUAGCGGUGAAAUGCGCAGAGAUAUGGAGGAACACCAGUGGCGAAGGCGACUUUCUGGUCUGUAACUGACGCUGAUGUGCGAAAGCGUGGGGAUCAAACAGGAUUAGAUACCCUGGUAGUCCACGCCGUAAACGAUGAGUGCUAAGUGUUAGGGGGUUUCCGCCCCUUAGUGCUGCAGCUAACGCAUUAAGCACUCCGCCUGGGGAGUACGACCGCAAGGUUGAAACUCAAAGGAAUUGACGGGGACCCGCACAAGCGGUGGAGCAUGUGGUUUAAUUCGAAGCAACGCGAAGAACCUUACCAAAUCUUGACAUCCUUUGACAACUCUAGAGAUAGAGCCUUCCCCUUCGGGGGACAAAGUGACAGGUGGUGCAUGGUUGUCGUCAGCUCGUGUCGUGAGAUGUUGGGUUAAGUCCCGCAACGAGCGCAACCCUUAAGCUUAGUUGCCAUCAUUAAGUUGGGCACUCUAAGUUGACUGCCGGUGACAAACCGGAGGAAGGUGGGGAUGACGUCAAAUCAUCAUGCCCCUUAUGAUUUGGGCUACACACGUGCUACAAUGGACAAUACAAAGGGCAGCGAAACCGCGAGGUCAAGCAAAUCCCAUAAAGUUGUUCUCAGUUCGGAUUGUAGUCUGCAACUCGACUACAUGAAGCUGGAAUCGCUAGUAAUCGUAGAUCAGCAUGCUACGGUGAAUACGUUCCCGGGUCU